CCUACGGGUGGCAGCAGUGGGGAAUAUUGGACAAUGGGCGAAAGCCUGAUCCAGCCAUGCCGCGUGUGUGAAGAAGGCCUUCGGGUUGUAAAGCACUUUCAGUGGGGAAGAAAGCCUUGGGGCUAAUACCCUCGAGGAAGGACAUCACCCACAGAAGAAGCACCGGCUAACUCCGUGCCAGCAGCCGCGGUAAUACGGAGGGUGCGAGCGUUAAUCGGAAUUACUGGGCGUAAAGCGCGCGUAGGCGGUCUGAUAAGCCGGUUGUGAAAGCCCCGGGCUCAACCUGGGAACGGCAUCCGGAACUGUCAGGCUAGAGUGCAGGAGAGGAAGGUAGAAUUCCCGGUGUAGCGGUGAAAUGCGUAGAGAUCGGGAGGAAUACCAGUGGCGAAGGCGGCCUUCUGGACUGACACUGACGCUGAGGUGCGAAAGCGUGGGUAGCAAACAGGAUUAGAUACCUUGGUAGUC
rnacentral:rRNA from 1 species